rnacentral:rRNA from 1 species
GCUCAGGAUGAACGCGGGCGGCGUGCUUAAUACAUGCAAGUCGAACGGUCCUCGCAAGAGGAUAGUGGCGAACGGGUGAGUAACGCGUUGGUGACCUGCCCCGGAGCGGGGGAUAACAGUUCGAAAGGACUGCUAAUACCCCAUAAACUGGAGGGAAUUAGAAACCCUUCAGGAAAGGCGAAAGCCACUCUGGGAGGGGCCUGCGUCCCAUCAGCUAGUUGGUAAGGUAAAGGCUUACCAAGGCGAUGACGGGUAGGGGACCUGAGAGGGUGACCCCCCACAAUGGAACUGAAACACGGUCCAUACACCUACGGGUGGCAGCAGUAGGGAAUAUUGGUUAAUGGGCGAAAGCCUGACCCAGCAACGCCGCGUGUGCGAUGAAGGCCUUCGGGUCGUAAAGCACUUUUUAGUGGGAUGAGGAAGGACAGUACCACUAGAAUAAGUCUCGGCUAACUACGUGCCAGCAGCCGCGGUAACACGUAGGAGACAAGCGUUAUCCGGAUUUACUGGGUGUAAAGCGCGUGUAGGCGGCUCUGUAAGUUGGAUGUGAAAGCUCCUGGCUUAACUGGGAGAGGUUGUUCAAGACUGCAGGGCUUGAGGGUAACAGAGGGGAGUGGAAUUCCGAGUGUAGCGGUAAAAUGCAUAGAUAUUCGGAAGAACACCAGUGGCGAAAGCGGCUCUCUGGGUUACAUCUGACGCUCAGACGCGAAAGCUAGGGGAGCAAACGGGAUUAGAGACCCCGGUAGUCCUAGCCGUAAACGAUGUGAACUUGGCGUUGGUGGGUUUAAAUCCGUCAGUGCCGAAGCAAACGCGAUAAGUUCACCACCUGGGGACUACGGCCGCAAGGUAAAACUC